UGAAUGAAAACAUUUGUACCGUAGACAGCAGGUGCCGAUAAGCUUAAUUUCCUGCCGAGGUCAUUGCGAUAUAUUUUUUCAAUCUGUCCGAAAUGAUUGAACGCAUUGAAACCUCCAGUCUGCCGCUUGGAGGUUUUUUUAUGGUAUA
rfam:Bacillus sp. VT-16-64 NODE_156, whole genome shotgun sequence.